rnacentral:rRNA from 1 species
GACAAACGCUGGCGGCGUGCUUAACACAUGCAAGUCGAACGGAAAGGCCCUGCUUUUGUGGGGUGCUCGAGUGGCGAACGGGUGAGUAACACGUGAGUAACCUGCCCUUGACUUUGGGAUAACUUCAGGAAACUGGGGCUAAUACCGGAUAGGAGCUCCUGCUGCAUGGUGGGGGUUGGAAAGUUUCGGCGGUUGGGGAUGGACUCGCGGCUUAUCAGCUUGUUGGUGGGGUAGUGGCUUACCAAGGCUUUGACGGGCAGCCGGCCUGAGAGGGUGACCGGCCAGAUGGGGACUGAGAUACGGCACAGACGCCUGCGGGAGGCAGCAGUGGGGAAUAUUGCACAAUGGGCGGAAGCCUGAUGCAGCAACGCGGCGUGCGGGAUGACGGCCUUCGGGUUGUAAACCGCUUUCGCCUGUGACGAAGCGUGCGUGACGGUAAUGGGUAAAGAAGCACCGGCUAACUACGU